rnacentral:rRNA from 1 species
UGGGGAAUAUUGGACAAUGGGCGCAAGCCUGAUCCAGCCAUGCCGCGUGUGUGAAGAAGGCCUUCGGGUUGUAAAGCACUUUUGUACGGGAAGAAACACGGCCGGUGAAUACCCGGCUGGACUGACGGUACCGUAAGAAUAAGCACCGGCUAACUUCGUGCCAGCAGCCGCGGUAAUACGAAGGGUGCAAGCGUUACUCGGAAUUACUGGGCGUAAAGCGUGCGCAGGUGGUGCGUUAAGUCCGAUGUGAAAGCCCUGGGCUCAACCUGGGAAUGGCAUUGGAUACUGGCGCGCUCGAGUACGGUAGAGGGUGGCGGAAUUCCCGGUGUAGCAGUGAAAUGCGUAGAGAUCGGGAGGAACAUCCGUGGCGAAGGCGGCCACCUGGACCAGUACUGACACUGAGGCACGAAAGCGUGGGGAGCAAACAGG